AUAAAUUAAUACAGAUCUUUGAUUUGCAUUAUAUAAAAAUGUGAAGUGAUGAAAUGGAUAAAUAUCAUUAUGGAAAGGAAAACUGGAACAGUAAUGGGGAAGUAUUUAGCCACCAUAUUUGCACUGCUAAUCUAUACUCUUUAAUUCUAUGCCUAAUCAGUUUUACUUUUUUUUCACAUUCAAAAAACUUUCUAAAACUAAAUCUAACAACACUUUGUAGUCUACUGAUGUUUAUGUUGUAUUUCUUUGUUUAGCUUGAUAGUCAAUGGCUACUAAUGAAGGGAUAAUUAAUCUUGAUGAUCAAAAUGAAAAUGAAGAUAACAUUGAAGAUGAAAAGAAGUCAACGGGCAGGUUAAAAUCCAUUGUUUGGGAACAUUUUCCAAAGGUCGAAGGUGCUACAAGUACACAAUGCAAGCAUUGUAAGAAGGUAUUAAGUUGUCGUGGUAGAUAGAAUGGUACUUCCUCGUUACUCAAUCAUCUUCACAAUACAUGUAAGACCUCACCACUUUAUAAAAAACCUGAUUUGAAGAAACAAACAACUUUAAGCUUUAAGCCAAAAGGUACGGAGGCAAGUGGAUCUUUGGCUAAGCAUUCCUUUAGCCAAGAGAGGUGUAGAUUAGCCCUUGCCAAAAUGUGCAUUAAAGAUAAUCGACCUUUUAGUAUUGUUGAUGACGAGGGUUUUAGGGAGUUUGUGUGGGAAUUGAAUCCUCAGUUUAAGAUCAUAUCCAGAUGGACUGUUGCUCGAGAUUGUUUAUCAAUUUAUGAACAAGAGGUGGAAAAAAUUAAAGAUAUGUUGCAUGGCCAAACAGUGUGUCUAACUACAGAUACUUGGACAUCUGUUCAAAACAUCAAUUAUAUGUGCCUUACGGCACAUUGGAUCGAUGAUGACUGGGUUUUACAAAAGAAGAUCCUAAAUUUUUGCCCUAUAGAAAAUCAUAGGGGUGACACCAUUGGGAGCCUUGUUUAUGAUUGUAUACAAAAGUGGGGGAUUGAGAUUGUGUUUACUAUCACAGUGGAUAACGCUUCUUCAAACGAUGGGGCAAUAAGAUAUUCGAAGAGGAUGUUGAAGGGACCAAAUGAUAUAUUAGAUUGUAAAUAUUUGCACCUACGUUGUUGUGCACAUAUCAUCAAUCUUGUUGUUAGAGAUGGUUUGGAAGAGCAAUUCGAUUCUGUUACUAGAAUUCGAAACGCAGUGACAUACGUGCGAUCGUCACCAGCUCGAUAUAAAACAUUUGAAGAUUGUAUUGCUCGGGUUGAAAUAAAGUGCAAACAAAAGCCCUCUCUUGAUGUUGAUACACGAUGGAAUUCAACAUACUUAAUGUUGGAAACAGCAAUAAAAUAUGAAAAUGCAUUUGAAAGGCUUUACACGAUAGAUCCUUCUUAUGGAGCUUAUUUUCGCACUGAAGCGGAUACCGAUUUGGAAGGGUGCACAAGAAAAAGGAAAAGAAAGCCUAAAGUAGUUGGUGCUCCGAGUGGUGUUGAUUGGGAGGCAGCCAGGUACGAUUAACUUUCUUAGUUGACACUUUAUAUUUAUUAUUUAUCAUAUGAAUACUUACAUAUUGUUAUUAAAUUAGGAAUUUGAUCGAGUACUUGAAAAUAUUUUUUGAUGUUACAAUCAAGAUAUCUGGUUCAAAGUAUGUAACAUCUAAUAUUUUUUUUUUCUGAGCUUGUGAAAAUGCAAGCGACAAUCACAAGGAUGUGCUUAUGUCAAGAUGAACAAAAGAAAAAGAUGGCAACGUCGAUGAAAGCCAAGUAUGAUAAAUACUGGGACAAUGUGGAUAAUAUGAAUUAUCUAUUGCAUGUUGCGGUUGUUUUGGAUCCGCGCAACAAGCUUCGAUACGUCAAUUAUUGCAUUGAAAUGAUAUAUGGUAAGAACUCUGAGAAAGGCAAAGAGAUAUCGGGGAAGGUAAAGCAGACUCUUGAAGAUUUGUUUAACCAUUAUAAGAGUAAAGCAGAAAAAACCAAUGUACAAAACACACAAGAUGGUGUUUUUAUUGAUAAGUCAAGUAGUGUUGGUGAGAUGGAUGUUGAUUUGGAGCUUGAGUUUGACAAACAUGACGAUGAGGGUCAAGAUACUAAGAGUGAGGUGGAGAUCUAUUUAGCAGAUGGAAGGGAAAAAAGGGACCAAACAUCUGAUCUUUUGGGUUGGUGGAAAUCAAAUUCAGUCAAAUUCCUGAUACUGUCUAAAGUAGCUAAGCAUGUUUUGGCAAUGCCAAUCUCUACUAUAGCAUCAGAGUCGGCAUUUAGUACUGGUGGGAGAGUUAUCGAUAAGUAUAGGAGUUCACUUAACACUGACACCGCAAAAGCUUUAAUAUGUGUACAAGAUUGGAUACGAUCUUCAUCGGUGGAUCUUGAGCUCGGUUGUAAUAUGUCGAGUAAAGACAUAGAUGAAUUGAAUGAGAAGAUGGCAGAAAUGCUUUUAAAGGGUAAAAAUUCAUCCGAUGACGGUCCACAAAAAGUGUGAUGGAAUUGCUUAGUUACCAUUGUAUGCAGCGGAAAGAGUUUCAAUGUCAGGUUUCAUGGAUGAAAGAAGGAUAAAAUUCUAGAAGACAAAAUUGUUGGUUUUUUGUUAUGUUUAACUUAAAAUGUUGAAAUUUGACAAUUUUAAGAUAUUUAUUGUUAAUUACUAACGAUUUGACGUUUUUAAGAUAUUAGUUGUUUUUUAUUUAAGUUCAUUUUCAUAUACCUUAUGUUUUUUUUAUUAUUACAAGUAACGUGUUUGAACUUUUAAACCGUUUAAAAAAGUCUUAAUUGUUCGAACGAGUUAUGCAAAAUCAU